rnacentral:tRNA from 2 species
GCCAGCAUAGCUCAGUUGGCCAGAGCACGUGAUUUGUAAUCUCGGGGUCGUGGGUUCGAAUCCCUCUGCCGGCU